rnacentral:rRNA from 1 species
CAGCAGCAGCCGCGGUAAUCCGUAGGUCCCGAGCGUUGUCCGGAUUUAUUGGGCGUAAAGCGAGCGCAGGCGGUUAGAUAAGUCUGAAGUUAAAGGCUGUGGCUUAACCAUAGUACGCUUUGGAAACUGUUUAACUUGAGUGCAAGAGGGGAGAGUGGAAUUCCUUGUGUAGCGGUGAAAUGCGUAGAUAUAUGGAGGAACACCGGUGGCGAAAGCGGCUCUCUGGCUUGUAACUGACGCUGAGGCUCGAAAGCGUGGGGCGCAAACAGGAUUAGAUACCCGAGUAGUCCCUGUCUCUUAUACA